rnacentral:misc_RNA from 1 species
GAAAUGCGACAAGUAGUGUGAAUUGCAGAAUUCAGUGAAUCAUCGAAUCUUUGAACGCACAUUGCGCCCCUUGGUAUUCCAUGGGGCAUGCCUGUUCGAGCGUCAUUUGUACCCUCAAGCUCUGCUUGGUGUUGGGUGUUUGUCCCCGUCUCCGCGCGUGGACUCGCCCCAAAGUGAUUGGCAGCCGGCGUACUGGUCCCGGAGCGCAGCACAUGUCGCGCAAACGAGUGCCUUGGUACGGCGGCGUCCAUAAGCCCCUCUCUCACGCUCUUGACCUCGGAUCAGGUAGGGAUACCCGCUGAACUUAAGC